AAUUAUUUUUGUUCGGAUUAAAGAUUGAUAGAAGGAAAGUACAUGUUACAUGGUUUCCUCUUGAGACGUUAUCCUAGAUCAAGAAUAGUAAUAUAAGGAUUUUUUUCCAAACAGGAGGAAAUACACAUGGUACAAGGUAAAGUAAAAUGGUUUAAUGCAGAAAAAGGUUUCGGUUUCAUCGAAGUAGAAGGACAAGACGACGUAUUCGUACACUUCUCUGCUAUUCAAGGCGAAGGCUUCAAAACUCUUGAAGAAGGCCAAGAAGUUUCUUUCGAAAUCGAGCAAGGCGCUCGCGGACCACAAGCUGCUAACGUUCAAAAAUAAUUGAACUUUAAAAGACUCCCAUUUAUCUGGGAGUCUUUUUU
rnacentral:sRNA from 1 species